UACGUAGGGUGCGAGCGUUGUCCGGAAUUAUUGGGCGUAAAGAGCUCGUAGGCGGUGUGUUACGUCGGCCGUGAAAACCUGCAGCUUAACUGUGGGCGUGCGGUCGAUACGGGCAUCACUGGAGUUCGGCAGGGGAGACUGGAAUUCCUGGUGUAGCGGUGAAAUGCGCAGAUAUCAGGAGGAACACCGGUGGCGAAGGCGGGUCUCUGGGCCGAUACUGACACUGAGGCGCGACAGCGUGGGGAGCAAACAGG
rnacentral:rRNA from 1 species